CUCUGUGACUCCUACGGGAGGCAGCAGUGGGAAUAUUGCACAAUGGCGCAAGCCUGAUGCAGCAACGCCGCGUGAGCGAUGAAGGCCUUCGGGUCGUAAAGCUCUGUCCUCAAGGAAGAAUAAAUGACGGUACUUGAGGAGGAAGCCCCCGGCUAACUACGUGCCAGCAGCCGCGGUAAUACGUAGGGGCAAGCGUUAUCCGGAAUCACUGGGCGUAAAGGGUGCGUAGGCGGUUUUUCAAGUCAGAAGUGAAAGGCUAUGGCUCAACCAUAGUAAGCUUUUGAAACUGUUAAACUUGAGUGCAGGAGAGGAAAGUGGAAUUCCUAGUGUAGAGGUGAAAUUCGUAGAUAUUAGGAGGAACACCAGUGGCGAAGGCGACUUUCUGGACUGUAACUGACGCUGAGGCACGAAAGCGUGGGGAGCGAACAGGAUUAGAUACCCUGGUAG
rnacentral:rRNA from 1 species